AUUUGCGGAAAGCCCCAGCUGAACUGCAUUUCUACCGGAUUUUAAAGAGUUUUUUAAACCAGUGUUUUGAGAAGAUAUAUGGGAUUUGAGUGUUAAAGACGAAAUGAUUUUAAGACUGGUAGUUUUUCUAUUUACGGGAUGGAUAUGCAGAGUGAACGGAAACCAGUAUAUAUAUGUCAACGAAAGUAAAACAUGGGAGGAUGCAAGGGGGUAUUGCAAACAGAAAGAAUUUGAGUUGUCUACCCUGAAUGGACAAGAAAUAGAAAUCUGUAACCUUACCGAGGUUACGGAGCUUUGGACCAACAAUUAUAUUUAUACUACGCCAUAUUUAUCUCUAUUAGGAUGUUAUAAGAAGCCAGAUGAAAUGCAGUUCUAUUCACUUGAGAAUGCCUCUUUAGUAGAAUGUCAGAUCUUGUGUAAUGAAUCAAAAAGAUUAGCGAUACGGG